rnacentral:lncRNA from 1 species
GGGGAGACUGAAGGGCAAAAGGGGAGGGGUGUAAACAUCACUGAGCGCCUUCUGUAUGCUGGUCCUUAGCUAUUUCUCAUCUAAUCAUCGAUCCUGUGAAAGGGAGAUCAGACACACAGGGGGCAGGACCAGGGUUCAAAUCCGGUUCUGUCCUUUGUCAGCAGACUGGGGAGAGUUCCUUGUCUAUAGCAUGGAGAUGACGACAGGAGUUGCCUCCUCAGGGCUGGUGUGGGGUCCAAGACACCGUCCAGCGCAUAGUAAGUGCUCAGUAAACAGGAACUGGCCUCGGGACUCUGCGGUUGCUAUUACCCCAUUUCCUAAUGGGGAAACAGAGGCCCAGAGAGGCUACAAAUUUGCCCAAGGCCACACAGCUAGGAGUCGCAGAGCCACCGGCAGGUCUGUGGAGCCCUGAAGCCAGGGUCUGGAGACCGUCCCCAAGCAUGAAAUCCAUUGGAGGGUUACGCCCUUCCCCUCAAGUCUAGCAGGUGCUGGACAGGCCUACUGUGUGCCAGGCUGGGCGGGCGGCUGUGAAGAUGGGCAGACACGGAACCGGCGCCCCACAGCGCGUGGCCUCAUGGGGCAGACAGACGACAACAGCUCCCUUAGUGACGCAGGGUAUGAGGUACCGUCACCAGUGAGCCCAGGGCUGGAGGGGGACAGCCGUGAAGGCUCCUGGGCCCCUAAUGCGGAGACGUACACGGUCCUUUCCACCCCAUCAACAGCAUCCUGGCUGGGGAAACUGAGGCAACAACUGAUCCACCAUGGUUAUAAAGACCCCUUGUGGGGUACAAAGGAAAAAGCACGAGCUUUAGAGCUGACCAACUCAAGGACUGGAAUCCUCGGGGCAUGAAGCCAGGCCUUCUGGGGCUGGGUCCCAGUCUG